rnacentral:rRNA from 1 species
UACAGAGGGGGCAAGCGUUGUUCGGAAUUACUGGGCGUAAAGCGUGCGCAGGCGGUUAUGCAAGACAGAUGUGAAAUCCCCGGGCUCAACCUGGGAACUGCAUUUGUGACUGCAUGGCUAGAGUGCGGCAGAGGGGGAUGGAAUUCCGCGUGUAGCAGUGAAAUGCGUAGAUAUGCGGAGGAACACCGAUGGCGAAGGCAAUCCCCUGGGCCUGCACUGACGCUCAUGCACGAAAGCGUGGGGAGCAAACAGG